AUUGAACGCUGGCGGCAGGCUUAACACAUGCAAGUCGAACGAUGACUAACUAGCUUGCUAGUUAUGAUUAGUGGCGGACGGGUGAGUAACAUUUAGGAAUCUGCCUAGUAGUGGGGGAUAGCUCGGGGAAACUCGAAUUAAUACCGCAUACGACCUACGGGUGAAAGGGAGCGCAAGCUCUUGCUAUUAGAUGAGCCUAAAUCAGAUUAGCUAGUUGGUGGGGUAAAGGCCUACCAAGGCGACGAUCUGUAACUGGUCUGAGAGGAUGAUCAGUCACACCGGAACUGAGACACGGUCCGGACUCCUACGGGAGGCAGCAGUGGGGAAUAUUGGACAAUGGGGGCAACCCUGAUCCAGCCAUGCCGCGUGUGUGAAGAAGGCCUUUUGGUUGUAAAGCACUUUAAGCAGGGAGGAGAGGCUAAUGGUUAAUACCCAUUAGAUUAGGCGUUACCUGCAGAAUAAGCACCGGCUAACUCUGUGCCAGCAGCCGCGGUAAUACAGAGGGUGCGGGCGUUAAUCGGAAUUACUGGGCGUAAAGCGAGUGUAGGUGGCUCAUUAAGUCACAUGUGAAAUCCCCGGGCUUAACCUGGGAACUGCAUGUGAUACUGGUGGUGCUAGAAUAUGUGAGAGGGAAGUAGAAUUCCAGGUGUAGCGGUGAAAUGCGUAGAGAUCUGGAGGAAUACCGAUGGCGAAGGCAGCUUCCUGGCACAAUAUUGACACUGAGAUUCGAAAGCGUGGGUAGCAAACAGGAUUAGAUACCCUGGUAGUCCACGCCGUAAACGAUGUCUACUAGCCGUUGGGGUCCUUGAGACUUUAGUGGCGCAGUUAACGCGAUAAGUAGACCGCCUGGGGAGUACGGCCGCAAGGUUAAAACUCAAAUGAAUUGACGGGGGCCCGCACAAGCGGUGGAGCAUGUGGUUUAAUUCGAUGCAACGCGAAGAACCUUACCUGGUCUUGACAUAGUGAGAAUCCUGUAGAGAUGCGGGAGUGCCUUCGGGAAUUCACAUACAGGUGCUGCAUGGCUGUCGUCAGCUCGUGUCGUGAGAUGUUGGGUUAAGUCCCGCAACGAGCGCAACCCUUUUCCUUAUUUGCCAGCGGGUUAAGCCGGGAACUUUAAGGAUACUGCCAGUGACAAACUGGAGGAAGGCGGGGACGACGUCAAGUCAUCAUGGCCCUUACGACCAGGGCUACACACGUGCUACAAUGGUAGGUACAGAGGGUUGCUACACAGCGAUGUGAUGCUAAUCUCAAAAAGCCUAUCGUAGUCCGGAUUGGAGUCUGCAACUCGACUCCAUGAAGUCGGAAUCGCUAGUAAUCGCAGAUCAGAAUGCUGCGGUGAAUACGUUCCCGGGCCU
rnacentral:rRNA from 1 species